rnacentral:rRNA from 1 species
UAGGGAAUCUUCGGCAAUGGACGAAAGUCUGACCGAGCAACGCCGCGUGAGUGAAGAAGGUUUUCGGAUCGUAAAACUCUGUUGUUAGAGCAGAACAAGGACGUUAGUAACUGAACGUCCCCUGACGGUAUCUAACCAGAAAGCCACGGCUAACUACGUGCCAGCAGCCGCGGUAAUACGUAGGUGGCAAGCGUUGUCCGGAUUUAUUGGGCGUAAAGCGAGCGCAGGCGGUUUCUUAAGUCUGAUGUGAAAGCCCCCGGCUCAACCGGGGAGGGUCAUUGGAAACUGGGAGAAUUGAGUGCAGAAGAGGAGAGUGGAAUUCCAUGUGUAGCGGUGAAAUGCGUAGAUAUAUGGAGGAACACCAGUGGCGAAGGCGGCUCUCUGGUCUGUAACUGACGCUGAGGCUCGAAAGCGUGGGGAGCAAACAGG